rnacentral:rRNA from 1 species
UACGGGGGGGGCAAGCGUUAUCCGGAUUCACUGGGUUUAAAGGGUGCGUAGGCGGGCAGGUAAGUCCGUGGUGAAAUCUCUGAGCUUAACUCAGAAACUGCCAUGGAUACUAUUUGUCUUGAAUGUUGUGGAGGUAAGCGGAAUAUGUCAUGUAGCGGUGAAAUGCUUAGAUAUGACAUAGAACACCAAUUGCGAAGGCAGCUUACUACACAAAUAUUGACGCUGAGGCACGAAAGCGUGGGGAUCAAACAGG